rnacentral:lncRNA from 1 species
GGCAAAAGUUAAAGAUAGAGGAUUUUAAAGCCAGCAAGAGAAAAACAAAAUGUUAAUUAUAAGGGAAUCCCCAUAAGGCUAUCAGCUGAUUUCUCUACAGAAACAUUACAGGCCAGAAGAGAGUGGCAAGAUAUGUUUAAAGUUCUAAAAGGAAAAAAUUUUCAGCCUAGGAUACUCUACCCAGCAAGAAUACAUUUAAAAUAGAAGGGGAAAUAAAUAAUUUCUCUGACAAACAAAAGCUAAAAGAGUACAGCAAUACUAAACCCAUUCUAAAAGAAAUUCUCAAAGGGCUUCUCUAAAUAAAAAAAGAAGUAAGAAGAAAUAGGAUGGAGGAAACCACAAGUGGAAAGCAGUCACUUAAAUAAGCCAGCAUGCAGAACUAAAAGGGGGAAAAAAAACUACUAUAAAAGUGAUAAUAAACACAAGGAGCAGCAAAAGGACAAAGAUGAAGAUGUUAAAAAAGGACUUCAAAAUCAUAGAAUGUGGGGAAGGAAACUAGGAAAAUCUAGACUAUUUUUUUAAUAAUGUAUUUGCGCCUAUAUGACUAUCAGGGUAAAGCAAGCAGAUAUUGGAAAGAGUUAACACACUUAAAAAAACAGGGCACCACAAAUCAAAACUGAACAUUAUAUUUACAGAAACCAAAAAGAAAAGUAUACAAGCAUAAAAUAAGUAGAAAUCAUCCAACCAAAAAAAUAAGUGAACAAAGGAGAAACAUAGAAUCAACUGAAAAACAAGGUUUAAAAUGGCAAUAAAUACAUAUUUAUAAAUAAUUACCUUAAAUGUCAAUGCUCUAAUCAAAAGACACAGAAGUGGCUGAUUGGAUAAAGAAGCAAAAACCUACAAUCUGCUGUCUACAAGAGACUCACCUUAGGGCAAAGGACACAUAUAGACUGAAAGUGAGGGGAUGGGAAAAUAUAUUUCAUGCCAAUGGACAAGACAGGAAAGUAGGUGUUGUAAUACUCAUAUCAGACAAAAUAGACUUUAAAAUGAAGGCCAUAAAGAAAGACAAAAAAGGACACUAUUUAAUGAUAAAAGGGUCCAUUCAAGAAGAGGAUAUUAUAAUCGUCAAUAUAUAUGCCCCUAAUAUAGGAUCACCCAGAUACAUACAGCAGACAUUCACAGACAUAAAAGGAGAAAUUGAUGGGAAUACAAUAUUUUUUUAAGUUUUAUUGAAGUAUAGUUAAUUUACAAAGUUGUGAUAAUUUGUGCUGUACAGCAAAGUGACCCAGCCAUCCAAAGCUGUCUUAAUUGACAUAAGGUGCCCAUAUACAAAACGCACACUCACACAUAAAGCUUCACCUAUUACCACAGAGACACGGUUAGCAGUGGGGAGGUAGAUGGGACCCCACCGCACAGCCCUCCUCACCCCCUUUAGCUAUCUGUCCAUGAGCAUCCGACCUUCCUUCUCAAAGAAGGCUACAGCUCCAACUUCUUGGCCUAAAUUUGACUUUUGUAUACACUGAAUCAUAUAGCACAUAUUUGAAUGUGUUUUGAACUUUGAAUCUUUGAACUUUGAAUCUUCCUUCUUUCACUUAUAUAUUGUGAGAUUUAUCCAUGAUGUCAUAAGUUGCUGCAGCUAAUUCAAUUUCAUUGCUGUACAUAAUUAUUUGUUUUCUCUACUGUUGAUGACUUGGGUUGCUUCACAUUUGGGGCUGUUAGGAAUUUUGCUGCUAUGAACGUUUUUUCCCCUUGUCUCUCAGUAUGUCUAUGUAAAUAUUUUGUUGGGUAUGUGUAUGUUCAGAGUGAUUGUAUUAACCUAACUGCAAAGAGUGCAGGAGUUUCCAGUGCUCCAUGUACUUGUCAACACCUGGUAUUUUUCACUUUAGCCAUUCUCAUGGGUUUAUGAGGUGGUAAAUUAUUGUAGUUUUUGUUUUCAUUUCACUGAUUGCUAAUGAAUUAUAUCUUUUUAUAUCUUUAUGGCUUUUUGGAUAAUCUCAGCUAUGAAGUGCCUGUUCAUUAAUUCUCUUGCCCAUUUUUCUGUUGGGUUGUCUGUCUUUUCCCUGUUGAUUUUUAGGAGUUCUUACUGUAUUCUGGAGGCCAUUGCUGUCAGUUGAAUGUGUUGCAAAUAUUUUCCUCCACUCUGUGGCUUACCUUUUCAGUUUUGUAAUAGUGUUUUUUCAUGAACAGAAGUUCUUAAUUUUAAUGGAGUCUAAAUGAUAAGCAUUUUAUUUUGUGUUUUUACUUUUUUUUUAGUGUCUUGUUUAGUCUUUCUCUAUCCUAAGAUCAGGAAGAUACUAAUCUCUGUUAUGUUCUUUGGAAGUUUACUGUUUUGCAUUUCACGUUUAGAUUUAAAAUCUAAAGUGAUAUUUGUGAGUGGUGUGAGAGAGAGAGAUGUAGUUUUGUUUUCCUACAUGCAUAUCUAUGUAACUAAGAAAUAUUUAUUUGAAGAACUUUCUCCCCUCUGCCAGCUUUUUUCUAGCUCACGUUUUCAUAUAUGAGUGGAUCUUUCUGAAAUCUGUAUUCUGUCGCAUAAGGUCAUGUGCCUGUAUUUGUGGCAGUCCCACAGUUUUAAUUGCCAUAGCUUUCCAUCAAAUCUUCACAUUUGAUAGAACCACCUCUGUGCUGUUUUGCAAGAGUGUCUUGUUUAAUCUUGGUAUCACUUUUUUCUAUGUAAUAUAUAGUUUCCACAGAAACAUCUAUUGCAAUUUUAAUUGAAAUUCCUUUGAAACUAUAAAUAAUUUGGAGAAGGAGUCUCAUCUUUACUCAUCUUAUUUUUUAAGAACAUGUAUUUAUAGAGUUUUUAAAUUUCUCUCAGUAAUAUUUUCAUUUCCUAUGCAGUAGUCUUGUAGAUAGCAUUAUGUUUUUCUCCCUAGAUACUUGAUAUUUUUGAACUACUGUAAAUAGUAUCUUUUAAAAAUUGUAUUUCUAAAUUUUUGUUGUUAAGGCAUAAAAAUAGAAUUGAUUUUUGUAUAUUGACCUUGUAUCCAGCAACCUUGUUAAACUCACUGAUUUUAAUAAGUUAUAUAUAGAUUUACUGAGAUUAUUAUACUCGUGUAUUAUCUGCAAAAAUGACAGCUUUCUUUCUUUUCUAAUCUUAUUAUAUUUUUAUUUCCUUUUAUUAAUGGUGCUGGCCAGAACCUCCAGCACAGUGUUGAAUUGAAUGAGGCUAAGAGGCACUUUUCCUCUCAUUUAGGAACCCAGAGGGGAAACUUCCAGGAUCUUAGCAUUAAGUAUAAGGUUUUUCAUAGUUUUUUGUAGGUCUUUCAUCAAAGAUAUUUGAUUUGGCACAGAGAUUUUAAGGAAAAGGCAGUUCAGGUUACAUGACUUGCCCCUGAAGGGAUGUGUUUUCUUCUAGGGCACACUCCCUAAAGAGCAAUCAUUUUCUGAUUCUCCAGUGUCUCCAGGCAGGGUUUUUAAUUUGUCUGGCUUUUCUUAUCUUUCCCCAUAGGAAGAUUGUAUUAACUAAUCUAUCACUAACAGAAGGAGAGGUCCCUCUCUACCAGUUGUAUUUUUAGGAGAGUUUCUGGAAAUUGACAUACAACAUUUCAUUUAUACCACUUUGGCUAGAUCCAGAGCAAACCCAGCUCUUUGGGAGGCUGGAAAUGUUAAAUGCAAAACAGGGAGUUCUCCCUUGGAAAAGGUCCACCUUAAACCCCAUCCUUAAUAUGGUACUUGAUUAUUCUUUACAUGGAAGACAGAGCUAUCACCUUCUUCCUAACCACAGUGCCUACUGGAUGAUCCAGACUUUGUGAUAAAAAGAUAAAAUUUGGAGAAAGUACGGCACCACAUAAAUAUUUACUGCCUUGAAUCAAGAAAUACAGUUAUAUUACUGGAAAUGAAAAUAAGUGUAUCUUUUGUAAAACAGAAAUCUAGUAAGUCAUAAAAUAAUAGAAGCCCCCAUCUGCAAAGCAGAUGCUAGGAACACGUAAAUGGCCAUGUGAAAUCUUGUUGAGUAGCAUUAUAAUAGUGGCCUGGAAAAAUGGAGUAAUUCAUAUUUGAUUUCUAGAAAUACAGACGUAAAAUGUAGUCAUUUCACCUGUGUUGUAGUCUGUUUAAAUAUUCAGAUACUCUCAGAAAUAGGGUCAUAAGUUAAUUGAACAUAAUGGUUUCCAAGAAGCUGUGCUUCACUAAAUAAUAUAAAUAUUUUUUACUUAGCUGCUUAUUGAGGCUGUUAGCUAUAUGGAAAAUAUCUAAAUAUCUAAACUUCUUGUUAACAAACUCUUAAGAAAGUUUUGUGUGUGUGUGUGUGUGUGUGUGUGUGUGUGUGUUUUGGAUCAUGAAGUUGUUUCUGGAUGAAAUGCCAGAGUAGUUUUCAUUAUCUUUCUGAUAAUACAUAUUCUCUGUUAUGUAGUUGAAAGCCAUUAAAAAUAGUUAAUAUCGAGCUGCUAUUCAUUACAGGAGUUUAGGCUCUUACAUUAGCAUUUUACUAACAAGGAUAUUUAAAUUGUUUUUUGCUUUAAUAGUGUAUCUUACUCCAAAUUAACUUUCAUUAGUCCUCAAUUUUAUAUGCCCUGACUUUAUGAAAAUAUAAAAUUUGAUUAAAUGCUCUAGAUAGAUGAAGCUGAAUUUUGUGAAAUGACAAUGAACUGCUUUUGGACUGUUUUUUAAUUACUUUCAAGUUAACUCCAAAAUUUGUUAUAAAUGCAUCUGUGCUGUUUUAUUGGAGUUUUUUCUCUCAGGAUGAGCAAGCUUAUAUUUAAUUUUAAAUAUGUAUUUAGUGAUAGCCCUGGGGUAUGAAUAAUUAGAAUGAAUUUACCAGGGUUCUUUUAGUGCUGCAAAAAACAGGUAACACAUUAAAUAUGUACAGAAAGCUUGUUUCCAACAUUUUAUGAUGUAAUUAACAAUUUAAAAAAUUCAGACUCCUACAGUAUUAUAACCAUGUGAUAUAAUUUAUCCUACAGUCAUAAAUGGCUUUUAACCUAUAUAUCUUGACCUUAUUCAUAUUUGAAAAUAGGAUUAUUCUAAUUCAAGAGUGUAAUCUUAUGUACUGCAGGUGACUCUGCAAUUAAAAUAGGAAACAGUUAAAAUAGGAAAAUACAGCUAAAGUAUGAAAAUAGAUAACUUCUGGAAUAUUUAAAUGGAAAUGAGCACAGUGGUCAAAAAUAGAACAUAUUUCUGAGAAAGAUUAACAAGUGAUCUUUUCCUGGUUCUGAAUCCCAGCUCUGCCAUGAUCGUGCUCUGCCUAUGAGCUUGUGCAUGUGGCUUAACUUUGCUUGGCCUUGGUUUCCCAUCUGUGAGGUUGAACCCAAUCUCCACGGCCUUUUCUGUGCUCUCUUUCUUUAUCUGAGGCUGGCAUUGUUACAUGUGUUUUGAGUCUUUCUCAUUCCCUCAUACAUACAUUUGGAGGCUAAAAAUAUGUCUUUAUGAAAUAUUUCAAGCACUCAGAACACAGAAAUUUGGAGAAAAUAGAUACCUGUGUAUCUUGUACAUUGUAUGUUAAUGUUUUGAUGUAUUUGCUUUGGUCCUUCUUUUUGAGCUAAUAUAAUAAGCUGUGCCAGGAGUUCCCAUCGUGGUGCAGUGGUUAACGAAUCCAACUAGGAACCAUGAGGUUGCGGGUUCAAUCCCUGCCCUUGCAGUGGGUUAACGAUCCGGUGUUGCCAUGAGCUGUGGUGUAGGUCAUAGACGCGGCUCGGAUCCUGCUUUGCUGUGGCUCUGGCCUAGGCCGGUGGCUACAGCUCUGAUUAGACCCCUAGCCUGGGAACCUCCCAUAUGCCACGGAAAUGGCAAAAGGACAAAAAAAAAAAAAAAAAANAAAA